GACGAACGCUGGCGGCGUGCUUAACACAUGCAAGUCGAACGAAGAGCGAUGGAAGCUUGCUUCUCUCAAUCUUAGUGGCGAACGGGUGAGUAACGCGUAAUCAACCUGCCCUUCAGAGGGGGACAACAGUUGGAAACGACUGCUAAUACCGCAUACGAUCUAACCUCGGCAUCGAGGAUGGAUGAAAGGUGGCCUCUAUUUAUAAGCUAUCACUGCAGGAGGGGAUUGCGUCUGAUUAGCUAGUUGGAGGGGUAACGGCACACCAAGGCGAUGACCAGUAGCCGGUCUGAGAGGAUGAACGGCCACAUUGGGACUGAGACACGGCCCAGACUCCUACGGGAGGCAGCAGUGGGGAAUCUUCCGCAAUGGACGAAAGUCUGACGGAGCAACGCCGCGUGAGUGAUGACGGCCUUCGGGUUGUAAAGCUCUGUUAAUCGGGACGAAAGGCCUUCUUGCGAAUAGUUAGAAGGAUUGACGGUACCGGAAUAGAAAGCCACGGCUAACUACGUG
rnacentral:rRNA from 1 species